UUUUAGGCAAAGAUCCCCACGUUCACUUGCGAUUUCGCGCCACUGCCAGUGCUUAAAUUAAGCAGGCGAUGAAAAUACGAUGGGCAUGAGAAACUUGCGCAGUUGGCUUCAGUUGUUCUGCUGGCACGUUGAUGUUGAUCGGCAUUGUCAGCCUGGCGGGCCUGAUCGCGAUCAUGGACAGGAAGGAUCAAGAUCCAGAAUGGCCGUUUCGCACGCGAGAUUCGAGGACCCGGGCUAACCUCCUGUCAAAAUUCUGAAGGGUUCGCCCUCCGAAAUGCAUGUGUUGAAGGUGGUGAAGAAAGACCACGAGUGGGAAGAUUAAGUGCCAUGACUGACAAAAGGGAGGUCGAAAAAUUCGGCCCCGCUCGUGAAGUGCAACUGGCGCUCGUGAAUCCUUCUUGUCCGUUCCCCUCAGAGUUGAGAGCUCAUGUGGCAAACAUCGCUAGUGUUCGUCAAUGACACGGUUUUAGGGCGUUAUUUGAGUCUUAACCUACCAACAUCCAACCCCAGAUUGAAGCUCCAAAAACAUCAACUCUACCUCCUGAUGAAGUGGAAGACUACCCCAGA
rnacentral:sRNA from 1 species